UUAUAUAUAUAUAUAUAUAUAUAUAUAUAUAUAUAUAUAUAUAUAUAUAUAUAUAUAUAUAUAUAUAAAUAAACUGACUUUCUACCUAGCUUAGUUUCCAUGAUACUCUCCCAAGAAUCAAAAUGUGAAUUAAAAAUUCAUUUGCCAAGAGGCUUAGACUUUGAUCUGGUGCUGUUACAAAAGGGAUAUGCUUUGGCAGAUGCAGAAAGCACCACAAUAAAUGUAGAUAUUUAGUGUAUUUGUAGCAUGAUAUACUCAUCCUGAUCUUGCUCAACUGUUAGUGUACACAGAACCUAAACUUGGUGAGACUGGGUCUAUUUAAAUAUAGUAAGUGGCUGUAUAGUUUAAACCAUUGCAACUUCUGCUGUAGGUAGAGCGCUAGAUAUCCAUAGACCAUUUGGCAGGGGAGGGGAGAAGGGUGUCAGGGAUUGAUGUGGAUCCAAAUUUUAUAGCUAAAGCCCUGCAAAUCUACAGCCAGCUGCUUUAGAUCCAUGGAUCAAUCAGCUAUAGAUACAAAUUUUGCAUAUGCACAGGGCUCUAGCUAUGGGUGUUUAUUUUAGGACUAUCCCCCUGAAAGCUUGAAACUGCAUUACAUAGAUCCAGCAUGGGUGACCAUUGCACAAGUUUAAACUGUCAUUUUCAAUACUCUUCGUUGAAGUGUAGAUGAUGCUGCCACUCUGACCUACUCUUCCAGCAUGUGUAAUCAAGUACGCAAAACUUGAACAGGUCUGCAAGAUGAAGUAGCUGUAUCCUUUUUGUGAACAGAUAGGCCUGGAUAACUUAAAACAGACCUGGAGAGCUCUGUAACUUCUCUGGCUCAAAGAGAAACUGUCAGUCAAAUAAGAGAAUAUCACAUGACCCACAGAUGUAUACUUAGCUUAACUGAAUGAUAACCCUUUGAACAACAAAACACCAUCUACUUCCAGGGAUCUAAACCAAUAAAUGUUAGCUUCCACUACCCUUGUAAAA